rnacentral:rRNA from 1 species
UACGUAGGGGGCAAGCGUUGUCCGGAUUUAUUGGGCGUAAAGAGCGUGUAGGCGGCCAGGUAGGUCAGCUGUGAAAACUCGAGGCUCAACCUCGAGACGUCGGUUGAAACCACCUGGCUAGAGUCCGGAAGAGGAGAGUGGAAUUCCUGGUGUAGCGGUGAAAUGCGCAGAUAUCAGGAGGAACACCGGUGGCGAAGGCGGGUCUCUGGGCCAUAACUGACGCUGAGGAGCGAAAGCGUGGGGAGCGAACAGG